GGUAAGUUGGUGAAUUUUUUGUUUUGGUUCCUAAAUUUUUUUUUGUUGAAGUCCAUACAUUUUAUGUUUUGUUGGCGUUAGUCCUUGACGUCAAAGUUCUGUUAAAAAAAUCCUAUGUGGCUAACGUUGCUGAAUUGACUUUUGUUUUUAAAUUUUUAUCAUGACACAUAUUAUUACAUAUGGUUCAAAUAUUUUCCACAAAAAUCAAGUCCUAAAAAUGCAUUUUAUAGUUUUAA
rnacentral:lncRNA from 1 species